GGCCCUCGGAGCAGUGCCGCGCCGUGAAAUGGAGGUCGGGCGGCCUGGGACAUCCCUGCGAGGGCGGCGCUCCCCUGUGUACACAAAGCUAAGCAGGAGCAGGCUGCAGACAUGGCCGGCUCCAGGCCCCUAACAUUGCUCUAAAGUCUUAUAAAAACCCAACCAAACGAAGAAACCCCAACCAGUGUGUGUUAUGGCUACUUCCACGUGUGGUGAGGAAAAGUCAGAAACAGAUGGUGUGAGGCGGCUACAGAGGGGGACUUGGAUGGGACAGACUUUGACUGACACCCAGGCUGAUCAAUGAGCAUAUUCCAUGCCAUUAGUGUCAUGCUUCAUAUUUAAUGGGAGUUGGGUUUUCCAGCUCAGGAGGCCCAUUUGGUCUGUCUUGAUUUCAGUAAAGCAUCUGACGAAGUCUCCCACAGCAUCCUUACAGCUAAGCUGAGGAAAUGUGGUCUGGAUGAUCGGGUAGUGAUGUGGACUGUGAACUGGCUGAAGGAAAGAAGCCAGAAAGUUGUGGUCAAUAGGGCAGAGUCUAUUUGGAGGCCUGUAUCUAGUGGAGUGCCUCAAGGGUCGGUACCGAUACCAGUACUAUUCAAUAUAUUCAUCAAUGACUUGGAUGGGGGAAUAGAGUGUACUAUCAGCAAAUUUGCUGAUGACACCAAUCUGGGAGGGGUGGCUGACACGCCAGAAGGCUGUGCUGCCAUCCAGCGAGACCUGGACAGGCUGGAGAGUUGGGCAGGGAGAAACGUAAUGAAAUACAGCAAGGGCAAGUGUAGAGUCUUGCACCUGGGUGGGAACAACCCCAGGUUCCAGUAUAGGUUGGGGAAUGACCUGUUAGAGAGCAGUGUAGGGGAAAGGGACCUGGGAGUCCUGGUGCACAGCAGGAUGACCAUGAGCCAGCACUGUGCCCUGGUGGCCAGGAAGGCCAGUGGCAUCCUGGGGUGUAUUAGAAGGGGGGUGGUUAGUACGUCGAGAGAGGUUCUUCUCCCGCUCUACUCUGCCCUGGUGAGACCGCAUCUGGAAUAUUUUGUCCAGUUCUGGGGGUCUCAGUUCAGGAAGGACACAGAACUGCUGGAGAGGGUCCAACACAGAGCCACAAAGAGGAGCAGAGCAUCUCUCGUAUGAGGAAAGGCUGAGGGAGCUGGGUCUCUUUAGUUUGGAGGAGACUGAGGGGUGACCUCAUUAAAGUUUAUAAGUAUGUAAAAGGUGAGUGUCACAAGGAUGGAGCCAGGCUCUUCUCAGUGACAACCAAUGAUGGGACAAGGGGUAAUGGGUACAAACCGGAACACCGGAGGUUCAAUUUAAAUAUGAGAAGAAACUUUUUCACAGUGAGGAUGACAGAACACUGGAACAGGCUGCCCAAGGGGGUUAUGGAGUCUCCUUCUCUGGAGACAUUCAAAACCUGCCUGGACACAUUCCUGUGUAGCCUCAUCUAGGUGUUCUUGGUCCAGCAGGGGGAUUGGACUAGAUGAUCUUUCGAGGUCCCUUCCAAUCCCUAACAUUCCAUGACUCUGUGAUUCAGCUCUGUUCUCAUUGAGUUCUGUUUGCGAGAUCCUUUUGUUCAGCUUUUUGCUGUUCUGCUGUUUUGUAAUGGCCUCUGGGCCUUUCUGCCUUUUUGGCCUUUUCACUCUCUCCCCAGGAUCAGCUGUUGGGGACCAGGGUGGUGUUUUCCUGGGACUGGCUGCUCAGAAUGUACAGAAGUCAUGACAAA